rnacentral:rRNA from 1 species
UGGGGGAUAUUGCACAAUGGGCGAAAGCCUGAUGCAGCGACGCCGCGUGGGGGAUGAAGGCCUUCGGGUUGUAAACUUCUUUUGCUCUGAACAAGGCGCACCAUGGGGUGUGUUGAGUGUAGGGGUUGAUUAGCGCCGGCUAACUACGUGCCAGCAGCCGCGGUAAUACGUAGGGCGCGCGCGUUGUCCGGAAUUAUUGGGCGUAAAGGGCUUGUAGGUGGCUGGUUGCGUCUGUCGUGAAAGCUCAUGGCUUAACUGUGGGUUUGCGGUGGGUACGGGCUGGCUUGAGUGCAGUAGGUGAGGCUGGAAUUCCUGGUGUAGCGGUGGAAUGCGCAGAUAUCAGGAGGAAUACCGGUGGCGAAGGCGGGUCUCUGGGCUGUUACUGACACUGAGGAGCGAAAGCAUGGGGAGCGAACAGG